AAAUAAAAAAGAAAUACCACAAGCUUAUAGAAAAGGCAACUAACGCAAUAGAAAACUGGAAGAUGACAGAUGACUGUGCUGGGUCAAACAGCUGCAGGGGGUCAUGGGACCUGGGGGGCUUUAAGGAUUAAGGGUUGGGAUAGCACAUGGCACAAACUUCUCUAAAACUUUCUCUUUGUCCAUUAAAUUGUCAAAAGUUUAAUGCAAAAUUACUUUUGUGCAGGUAGGCUUCAGUUCAAACAUUGAAAUGUUUUAAUAGCCGAGUUACAUUUGAUGAUUAGGCUGAAAAAUAUGAACAAGAACCAAGUAAAACAAAGCUAGAACUAAUUAUGAAGGGAAGCAGCAUUCUGUAGAAAGCCAUAGCUAAUUUAAUGCUCAGCACAUAUUAAACUUGUUUUUCCAUUGUGCUUUAACCAGAACCAGAAGGGACCUGCUGGUUGGUGGAGCUCCAGAAUACUUUUAAUUUUCUCACCAGGAAUCUGCAUUCUUGUGUUUUUUUUUCUUUUUCUGUCAUCAGGAAUAAAGUGUCCCUUAGUGGCUAACAGAAAAGCUAUUCACACAGCAUUUCUUUUAAAAAAAUUUUGCAUGGACUGUGUAAGA